CGAGGUGCUGCAUGGUUGUCGUCAGCUCGUGCCGUGAGGUGUCGGGUUAAGUCCCAUAACGAGCGCAACCCCUACUGCUAGUUGCCAGCGGGUCAUGCCGGGGACUCUAGCGGAACUGCCAGCGUAAGCUGCGAGGAAGGUGGGGAUGACGUCAAAUCAGCACGGCCCUUACGUCCAGGGCUACACACGUGUUACAAUGGCCAGUACAGAGGGCAGCCACCCGCGAGGGGGCGCUAAUCCUAAAAGCUGGUCCCAGUUCGGAUCGGAGUCUGCAACCCGACUCCGUGAAGCUGGAUUCGCUAGUAAUCGCGCAUCAGCCACGGCGCGGUGAAUACGUUCCCGGGCCUU
rnacentral:rRNA from 1 species